ACGCUGGCGGCAGCCUCAUACAUGCAAGUCGAGCGAGAACGUUACUUCGGUAACUAGUAAAGCGGCGGACGGGUGAGUAACGCGUAGGAAUCUACCUUUCAGUGGGGGAUAGCUCGGGGAAACCCGAAUUAAUACCGCAUACACCCUAAGGGGGAAAGAGGGCCUAUCCUUGGAAGCUCUCGCUGUUAGAUGAGCCUGCGUGAGAUUAGUUUGUUGGUGGGGUAAUGGCCUACCAAGACUACGAUCUCUAGCUGGUCUGAGAGGACGAUCAGCCACACUGGGACUGAGACACGGCCCAGACUCCUACGGGAGGCAGCAGUAGGGAAUAUUGGACAAUGGGGGCAACCCUGAUCCAGCUAUGCCGCGUGUGUGAAGAAGGCUCUAGGGUUGUAAAGCACUUUAGGUAAGGACGAAAAGAAUAUAGUUAAUACUUAUAUUCCGUGACUUAACUUACAGAAUAAGGACCGGCUAACUCCGUGCCAGCAGCCGCGGUAAUACGGAGGGUCCAAGCGUUAAUCGGAAUUACUGGGCGUAAAGCGCGCGUAGGCGGUUUGUUAAGUUGGAUGUGAAAUCCCUGGGCUCAACCUAGGAACUGCAUUCAAAACUUAUAGACUAGAGUACGAUAGAGGAGAGUAGAAUUCCUGGUGUAGCGGUGAAAUGCGUAGAUAUCAGGAGGAAUACCAAUGGCGAAGGCAACUCUCUGGAUCGACACUGACGCUGAGGUGCGAAAGCGUGGGUAGCAAACAGGAUUAGAUACCCUGGUAGUCCACGCCGUAAACGAUGAGAACUAGCCGUUGGAUCUUAGAUUCAGUGGUACAGCUAACGCAUUAAGUUCUCCGCCUGGGGAGUACG
rnacentral:rRNA from 1 species